GUCGCUGUGGUCUAGUGGUUAGGACAUUGCGUUGUGGCCGCACUAACCCAGGUUCGAAUCCUGGCAGCGACA
rfam:Schistosoma mansoni strain Puerto Rico chromosome 1, complete genome